rnacentral:rRNA from 1 species
GACGAACGCUGGCGGCGUGCUUAACACAUGCAAGUCGAACGGAAAGGCCCUGCUUUUGUGGGGUGCUCGAGUGGCGAACGGGUGAGUAACACGUGAGUAACCUGCCCUUGACUUUGGGAUAACUUCAGGUAACUGGGGCUAAUACCGGAUAGGAUCUCCUGCUGCAUGGUGGGGGUUGGAAAGUUUCGGCGGUUGGGGAUGGACUCGCGGCUUAUCAGCUUGUUGGUGGGGUAGUGGCUUACCAAGGCUUUGACGGGUAGCCGGCCUGAGAGGGUGACCGGCCACCUUGGGACUGAGAUACGGCCCAGACUGCUACGGGAGGCAGCAGUGGGGAAUAUUGCACAAUGGGCGGAAGCCUGAUGCAGCAACGCCGCGUGCGGGAUGACGGCCUUCGGGUUGUAAACCGCUUUCGCCUGUGACGAAGCGUGAGUGACGGUAAUGGGUAAAGAAGCACCGGCUAACUACGUG